rnacentral:rRNA from 1 species
GCGCAGCAGGCGCGAAAACUUCACACUGUGCGAAAGCACGAUGAGGGAAUCCCAAGUGCUUGCACGUAAGUGUAAGCUGUUUCUCUGUUUAAAACGCAGAGAGAGUAAGGGCUGGGGUAAGACGGGUGCCAGCCGCCGCGGUAAUACCUGCGAGCUCAAGUGGUGACCGUUAUUAUUGGGCCUAAAACGUCCGUAGCCGGUUUAAUAAA